rnacentral:rRNA from 1 species
CCUUACCUGGCCUUGACAUACUAAGAACUUUCCAGAGAUGGAUUGGUGCCUUCGGGAACUUAGAUACAGGUGCUGCAUGGCUGUCGUCAGCUCGUGUCGUGAGAUGUUGGGUUAAGUCCCGCAACGAGCGCAACCCUUUUCCUUAUUUGCCAGCGGGUAAUGCCGGGAACUUUAAGGAUACUGCCAGUGACAAACUGGAGGAAGGCGGGGACGACGUCAAGUCAUCCUGGCCCUUACGGCCAGGGCUACACACGUGCUACAAUGGUCGGUACAAAGGGUUGCCACCUCGCGAGAGGAUGCUAAUCUCAAAAAGCCGAUCGUAGUCCGGAUCGCAGUCUGCAACUCGACUGCGUGAAGUCGGAAUCGCUAGUAAUCGCGGAUCAGAAUGCCGCGGUGAAUACGUUCCCGGGCCUUGUACACACCGCCCGUCACACCAUGGGAGUUUGUUGCACCAGAAGUAGGUAGUCUAACCGCAAGGAGGACGCUUACCACGGUGUGGCCGAUGACUGGGGUGAAGUCGUAACAAGGUAGGCGUAGAUGA